UCCCCUGCGCACCCCCCGUGGUGUCCUCUGUCCCCUGCGCACCCCCCGUGGUGUCCUCUGCCUCCUGCGAACCCCCCGUGGUGUCCUCUGCACACCCCCCGUAGUGUCCUCUGUCCCCUGCACACCCCCCGUAGUGUCCUCUGUCCCCUGCACCCCACCACACAAACACACACUGUGUAGGUAGAACUCUCCUACCUUACACAGGUGUACAGCAAGCAGGGCAUCACAGGGCUGGAUGGGGGGAGGGAACUACUGAAGUUAACUUUUCACAUUAACAUGCUGGUGAUUGGUUGCCGGGCAAUCCUACCAACCAAUCACCCGGUGUUUAAUGAAAAAAGUUAACUUCUAUGGUUCCCGCCCCCAUCCAGCCAUGAGAUACUGACAGUAAAAUGUCCACGGGUGCCCCCAUUCAGUGGUGGCGGGCCGGGUGCCGACCCCUUUUCUAGAGACUCUGGGCCGCAGAUUUGGGGCUAUAGCCUCAAUAGCCACCCCCUAGCGACGCCUCUGGUGAGAUCUCUGAGUUUGAGUUCCUGGGUGUGCACGCCCGUUAUUACCAGGGGAAACCAUUGUGUCUCUUGGAUUAAUAAUGGAGCUUAUAUUAUGAAGCAGGCAAUGCCGAGGAAAGAAACACCUUGCAAGGUGGACGGAUUUAGAGCCAGGAGAUAUGGUGAUCUCAACCAAAGUAUCCAAGACUUCAAGUGGUCAUCCACCAACGUGAACCUCCUUUUUUUUUGAGUGGACUAACCCUUUAAAAAGGGUCAUUGGUUUUAGUUUCUUCACAAAAUUCUCCUCUUUUUGAUUCUUUAAGCAUCAAGAAUCGUGUCUACUAUUCUUUUGCCUCUUCUUUUUUUCUUUGUUCUCCCCUUUCUCUUUACUUUCCUGGUGAGCUUUAUUAUUUAAUGUUUAUUCAAUGUUACUUGACGCCACACUGAUCUUCCAGUCUUGAAGUUCUGGCGGUAUGGAAGUCACCCGCACCUUUUUGAUCCUUUUCCUGGGUGGCUAGUCGAAGAGAUGAUCAAUGUAUUUGUAUUGGGAUGUUGAUUGACUAACCUCAUUUGUGUGGAUGUUGUCAAGUCGUACUCAUAAUUUCAAUGUGGAUUUCUUUUUUUCUUUUUUUAUAUCACUUUUAUAAUCUUUGAUAGUAAUAAAAAUAUACAUAGAAAAUAAA